GACAUGGCUCAAUUGGUUAGAGUAUGGUGCUGAUAAUGCUAAGGUUGCAGGUUCGAUCCCCGUAAGAGACA